UGUUUGUUUAUUGUUAUCAUUCUUAUAAGCUGCCGUUUAUUUCUUUAUUUAUAUUCAGAUGUAUUUAUAGAGCAACAGUCAUUGAUAUCUAACAAUGACCAAGAACACGAUGGAAUUAUUGAUGGCGUUGAAGACGCUUCUGUAGAACAACACACACUGGUACAUAAAGAUGAUAAAGAGUUGGAAGGAAUUAUUGAUGGCGUUGAAGAAACAGUUGUAGAACAAGCAUCACUGGUUUCUAAAGAUGCGGAAAAACAGAAAGAAAUUAUUGAAGGUACCAUUGAAAUUAUGCUGGUGUGUGUCAUUCCUAAAUGACAUUCAUUUCGACAUCGCUAAUAAGAUAUAGUAGAUACUCAAGUAUCUAGUUGAAGAGGUCCCUAAUUUGUUAAAUCUUUGUAGCGCAUAUAGU